CACUUACAGAUGGACCCGCGGCGCAUUAGCUAGUUGGUGAGGUAACGGCUCACCAAGGCAACGAUGCGUAGCCGACCUGAGAGGGUGAUCGGCCACACUGGGACUGAGACACGGCCCAGACUCCUACGGGAGGCAGCAGUAGGGAAUCUUCCGCAAUGGACGAAAGUCUGACGGAGCAACGCCGCGUGAGUGAUGAAGGUUUUCGGAUCGUAAAACUCUGUUGUUAGGGAAGAACAAGUACCGUUCGAAUAGGGCGGUACCUUGACGGUACCUAACCAGAAAGCCACGGCUAACUACGUGCCAGCAGCCGCGGUAAUACGUAGGUGGCAAGCGUUGUCCGGAAUUAUUGGGCGUAAAGCGCGCGCAGGCGGUUUCUUAAGUCUGAUGUGAAAGCCCCCGGCUCAACCGGGGAGGGUCAUUGGAAACUGGGGAACUUGAGUGCAGAAGAGGAGAGUGGAAUUCCACGUGUAGCGGUGAAAUGCGUAGAGAUGUGGAGGAACACCAGUGGCGAAGGCGACUCUCUGGUCUGUAACUGACGCUGAGGCGCGAAAGCGUGGGGAGCGAACAGGAUUAGAUACCCUGGUAGUCCACGCCGUAAACGAUGAGU
rnacentral:rRNA from 1 species